GGAAGAGCCAUACCUCAGUGGUAGAAGAUCUGCUUUGUAUGCAGAACAUCCAAAGUUAAAUCCCUGGCACUUCCA